ACAUUAGUGCUAAAAGUUCUUCACCAUGAAGCUGAUAUUCGCUUUGAUUUGCUCUUUGCUUUGGCACUUGGUAAUCCCACAGGCUACAAAUGAUCAGAUUUUGAGGGAAAUUUGUAGAUCUGGCGACAGGCGUGGAAUUUGUGAUCCCGCUUAUUCAUUUUACUAUGAUAUAAAAACAAGACAGUGUUAUAUGUCCAAGUUAGAUGGGUGUUUAUAUUUUGCCUAUAAAAGUAAAUGUGAAAAAGAUUGUAAUCGUGUGCUAAGCAGGCUGUAUUAAAGAUGUGAUAUGUAUCAGCAUGA